rnacentral:rRNA from 1 species
AGAGUUUGAUCAUGGCUCAGGAUGAACGCCGGCGGUGUGCCUAAUACAUGCAAGUCGUACGCACUGGCCCAACUGAUUGAUGGUGCUUGCACCUGGUUGACGAUGGAUCACCAGUGAGUGGCGGACGGGUGAGUAACACGUAGGUAACCUGCCCCGGAGCGGGGGAUAACAUUUGGAAACAGAUGCUAAUACCGCAUAACAACAAAAGCCACAUGGCUUUUGUUUGAAAGAUGGCUUUGGCUAUCACUCUGGGAUGGACCUGCGGUGCAUUAGCUAGUUGGUAAGGUAACGGCUUACCAAGGCGAUGAUGCAUAGCCGAGUUGAGAGACUGAUCGGCCACAAUGGAACUGAGACACGGUCCAUACUCCUACGGGAGGCAGCAGUAGGGAAUCUUCCACAAUGGGCGCAAGCCUGAUGGAGCAACACCGCGUGAGUGAAGAAGGGUUUCGGCUCGUAAAGCUCUGUUGUUGGAGAAGAACGUGCGUGAGAGUAACUGUUCACGCAGUGACGGUAUCCAACCAGAAAGUCACGGCUAACUACGUGCCAGCAGCCGCGGUAAUACGUAGGUGGCAAGCGUUAUCCGGAUUUAUUGGGCGUAAAGCGAGCGCAGGCGGUUGCUUAGGUCUGAUGUGAAAGCCUUCGGCUUAACCGAAGAAGUGCGUCGGAAACCGGGCAACUUGAGUGCAGAAGAGGACAGUGGAACUCCAUGUGUAGCGGUGGAAUGCGUAGAUAUAUGGAAGAACACCAGUGGCGAAGGCGGCUGUCUGGUCUGCAACUGACGCUGAGGCUCGAAAGCAUGGGUAGCGAACAGGAUUAGAUACCCUGGUAGUCCAUGCCGUAAACGAUGAGUGCUAGGUGUUGGAGGGUUUCCGCCCUUCAGUGCCGGAGCU